rnacentral:rRNA from 1 species
UACAGAGGUGGCAAGCGUUGUUCGGAAUUACUGGGCGUAAAGGGCGCGUAGGCGGUCUUGUAAGUCUUGUGUGAAAUCCCUCGGCUCAACUGAGGAACUGCACGGGAUACUGCGAGACUUGAGUUCGGGAGAGGGAAGCGGAAUUCCGGGUGUAGCGGUGAAAUGCGUAGAUAUCCGGAGGAACACCGGUGGCGAAGGCGGCUUCCUGGACCGACACUGACGCUGAGGCGCGAAAGCUAGGGGAGCAAACGGG